CCGAAUCUCUAUCGUCUAUGUAUUUGAAUGUGUAUCUAUGUAUUUAAUCAUCGCACACACAGUAAACACUUGGUUUGAAUUGCAUUCGAAUUCGGUAUUUUUAUCUGUGAUUUCGCGACGAUUUAUAUUAAAUUGGGGCGACCGGUGAUCGAUGUUCGUAUAACCCGGAGUGAAUCGUCGCCGGAUUAAGCUUGUUCCUUUGUUGAGAUCUCUGGCGUUGCCGAAGAUUUCCGAAGGUAAGCAUUCUCAUAUCCUAUCGCCUUGGGUAGCGGGUUGCUGCGAUUAGCUCUUGGGAUUGGCCAUGAGAGAAACAUUCAUUCAUUCUCGGUUUCUCUUAUUUUUUUUUGUUUUGUCAAAAUGAUUUUGGAUUUGGAGUUGCCUGUGAUGAAAUCUCUUAUCAAAUAACACCAUCUUUCGGGACUGAGUUUCCCGUGCUGAUAUUCUGCAAUUCUGAGGCUUUUUCAACUAAUUUCUUUUUAAAACGGAUGAUUUCUGGUGCUUAUUGACGGUCCAGUGCUGUUUAAUUCGAUUUACAGUACUUAACAUUAUCAUAAGCUAUAGAAAUUCUGAGCCGCCUUUCGUCUUUCGAGUCGUUUCUCUCCUUAUGAGAUUUGGCUAUCCGCGUUGUGGCUCUCAUUUUUUUAUUUACACCUUUUUCAAACUAAAUUUGUUUUGCCUUUUUUCAGAUUUUAAACAAUUCAUAGUUUACUAUAGAUUUAUAGCUUAAUAUUGAAUCUAUGGUCCAGGAAUUUAGGAUUUGCUAAGAAUUUCUUAAUAAAUCUAGUUUUCUAUAAAUCAACUAUUUUAGCAAAAUCAUCUUUGAAUUUGAAGGUAACUCACGGAUCAAUGCCACGUCGCCAGUAGCAACGGCUGUGAUCGGCGAUGUCAUGAUUGAACCAAAAUCAAAGUUUUUUGCAUGUUGAUAGGAACCUGUGAAUCGAUCUUCACCGUUCGUUUACGGAACCGUUUUCUGCGAUUACAUUUUGUGAUUUUUAUUUUAUUUUAUGAAUAGAAAAUAAUAGAUUCAAUUAGAUUUUGUGAUUUUUAUUUUAUUUUAUGAAUAGAAAAAUAAAUAUAUCCAAUUAGACCUAUGAUGAUUAAAAAUAUCAAUAUAUCUGGAAUUACCGUCUGAAUUCUAUUGAUGUGAUCAGCAAUCUGAGGUCAACCUUUUUCGAAUUAUUUGAACUUUAAUAAACUUGAAAGGUAAGAUUUGAAAAAUGAAAGUAAAAAAAAAGUUGAAAAGAUGGAC
rnacentral:lncRNA from 1 species